UGCUGAUGAUGUGGAAAAUCCCAAUGAAGAUCUUUGAACCUCUCCCAUGAAUGAUAUAAAUUCUCAUCUAGCUAUUGUUUAAAGCUCACAAUCUCACUACACAAUCU
rfam:Capsicum annuum cultivar Zunla-1 chromosome 6, whole genome shotgun sequence